rnacentral:tRNA from 1 species
GUCGGGGUAGCUCAGUUGGUAGAGCACAGGACUCAUAAGCCUGGGGUCGUGGGUUCGAUCCCCACCUCCGACACCA